UACGGAGGGUGCAAGCGUUAUCCGGAUUUACUGGGUUUAAAGGGUGUGUAGGCGGACUUUUAAGUCAGCGGUGAAAUCUCCGGGCUCAACCCGGAAACUGCCAUUGAUACUAUUGGUCUUGAAUGUUGUUGAGGUGGGCGGAACGGGUCAUGUAGCGGUGAAAUGCAUAGAUAUGACCCGGAACACCGAUUGCGAAGGCAGCCCACUAAGCAACGAUUGACACUGAGGCACGAAAGCGUGGGGAUCAAACAGG
rnacentral:rRNA from 1 species